rnacentral:rRNA from 1 species
UACGAAGGGGGCUAGCGUUGUUCGGAUUUACUGGGCGUAAAGCGCACGUAGGCGGAUCGUUAAGUGAGGGGUGAAAUCCCAGGGCUCAACCCUGGAACUGCCUUUCAUACUGGCGAUCUAGAGUCCGGAAGAGGUGAGUGGAACUCCUAGUGUAGCGGUGAAAUGCGCAGAUAUCAGGAGGAACACCGGUGGCGAAGGCGGGUCUCUGGGCCGAUACUGACGCUGAGGAGCGAAAGCGUGGGGAGCGAACAGG